rnacentral:lncRNA from 1 species
GUCCCAACAAUAUUUGAAUUUAAAGACAAUUUGAUUUCACGGUUUCCAAAUGAACAUGAAUAUCCUGAUUUGUCCAAAUAGGAAACUGAGACCAGAUUUCGUCUAAAAGACGGCACAACAAAAGUGUCUUUCAAAUCCAAGUAGAAACCAGUGCACAAUAACAGUCUAAAAUGCCCUAUAGCUUCCACUUCUACCGAUUUGCCAUCU